UACGUAGGGUGCAAGCGUUGUCCGGAAUUAUUGGGCGUAAAGAGCUCGUAGGCGGUUUGUCACGUCGGCCGUGAAAACUCGGGGCUCAACCCCGAGCCUGCGGUCGAUACGGGCAGACUAGAGUGCUGUAGGGGAGACUGGAAUUCCUGGUGUAGCGGUGAAAUGCGCAGAUAUCAGGAGGAACACCGAUGGCGAAGGCAGGUCUCUGGGCUGACACUGACGCUCAUGCACGAAAGCGUGGGGAGCAAACAGG
rnacentral:rRNA from 1 species